GCUGCAACCUGGGCCUGAAGUUUUAUAGCUCGCUUAGAAAAUUGUUCAUAACCCUUCCAUCUUUGCAUUUCUGGGUUAUAAAAUUGGAUUUUACUGGCUGGUUUUUUUUAAAUUUGGCUGUUUACUGUUGGUUUGUCGGCAUCUAGGAUGUUUGGGGGAGGGUGGGCUGUGUGUUAGGCCAGGGUGUGCACAGUGUUCCUGUUGCCUUCUAACAGCUCCUUUUUCCCUCAUAAUUUUCCAGGCUGCAGGCGUCACUGCUCUCUGCCACUGAACAAGGAAACCUGCUGCUGAAUUUCUCCAUGCUUGGGAAAAGUUUAAUGGUUGCAAAGCAUUGGAUCUGCAGGGGAUGAGAAGAAUCCUUUCCCAGAGAUUUUUCUGCCAAAUGAAGACAAGACAAGACGACAGAAGUUUGAACAAGAUUUCUGCUGAACAAACCAAGAGAAUGUGACCAGGAGCCAGCCUGACCUCAGAGACUGAACGAGACAGAAUUUAUAGUGACUCUGACUGGAACCCAAGUGCCUUUACUGGGUCUCCAGGAUGUAAAUAGUUCCAUGUUCUCUGUUUUUUUUGGAUAGUUCCAUGUUCUCUGUUUUUUUGGAGCCUCAGAAACAGUUCUGUUUUGUUUAUUUUCUUACUGUUCAAUGCAAAGCACCUGCAUACUUUUGUGUUUGUUUUAAAUACAGUUUUAAGUUCUCUUCGUUACCUUAGGAAGACUUUGUGGGUUUUGAGGGUAAUGCUUUUCUGCCUUGCAAAAGAAGAGAUGGGGGGUGGUACCUGCCUUUAAAAUGACCAAGUGCAAUGAAUUUUCUGAAUGGCCCCGUG